AUAGAAUAUUAAUGCCACCUCGAGCACAUGGUACAUGGACAUAUCAUAUUGAUAAGAAGAAUUGUAAUAACUCACUUUUUUUUUUUGUAUACGAUGAGCUGAGGAUCGAACCCAGGACCUAUAAUGUACUAUUCAAACCUUUCACCACUAGACAAAAUCUAGUGGAUUUGUAAUAACUCACUUUAACUAUUAGGAGUAAUAAUACUUAUAUAUAGAAGUAUCUUUGGAAUAUAACAAGUGGUAGAGUAUUAUGUAAAUAAACACAUCCUAGCUCAACCGACAAACAAAUGUCGAUAUUGUUAGAUCGGACGUCAUGGUUGGGAUUCGAACUCUGACGGUCUCACUUGUGUGUGUGAGUUUAUGAUGACUUUGCUAGUGGGUCCCAUAACUUACACCAUUCAUUCAUUCUUUCACUUCCUCUCCAAAGUCAGAAUAAGAACUUUGAUUCUCCCUACCAUCACUCACGCCCUCCUCUCACCGUCAACCUUUUAACAAUUCAAAUCAACAUAUUUGGUGAUCGAUCUCUUGCAUGCAUCGUAACUCCCAAGAACCUAAGAGAAAUCAGAAGCUAAGGAGAUGAAGCAAUAAGUCAAGGACAUAAUUUGGAGUUUUAAGGAAUUGGGUGCUUGAAGACUUGAAGUUCAUUACCAACAAAUCCUUUUAGCCAGCACCUUUAAGAACAAGGUGUGUUCCUUUAGGUUCUAACUGUUAAGAAGUCUCACAUCGGUUGCGAGAUGGCCUAAUAAGUGUUAAUAUAUUAUAGACAAUUCUUACCUUACAAGCUGGUUUUGUAAGGAUGAGUUAAGCUCAAUACUCAUUUAUAAGACUAACCUUAGUUAGAAUGGAAUUAGGAAUUAAUUUUUGGAUCUACUGAACAUGCAUAGUAGUAGUAGUAUUCAGAAUAAAUUAAGAAAAUUUUGAUUCUA